ACUUGGAUAACUGUAGUAAUUCUAGAGCUAAUACAUGCAACUAAGCCUGUCCUUUGCGGGACGGGCGCACUUAUUAGAUCAAAACCAACCGGACUUCGGUCUGACGGUUUGAUGACUCUGGAUAAUUUACCUGAUCGCACGGCCUUUGUGUCGGCGACGUAUCUUUCAAAUGUCUGCCCUAUCGACUUUUGAUGGUAGGUAAUUUGCCUACCAUGGUUAUAACGGGUAACGGGGAAUCAGGGUUCGAUUCCGGAGAGGGAGCCUGAGAAAUAGCUACCACAUCCAAGGAAGGCAGCAGGCGCGCAAAUUACCCACUCCCGAAACGGGGAGGUAGUGACGAUAAAUAACGAUGCGGGACUCAAUCGAGGCCCCGUAAUUGGAAUGAGUACACUUUAAAUCCUUUAACGAGGAUCAAUUGGAGGGCAAGUCUGGUGCCAGCAGCCGCGGUAAUUCCAGCUCCAAUAGCGUAUAUUAAAGUUGUUGCAGUUAAAAAGCUCGUAGUUGGAUCUCAGGAUUUGGAUGGAUGGUUCGCUUUCGGGCGCUACUAUCUGUCUGACCUACUCUAGUCGUGGAUGCCUUGGGUGCUCUUAAUUGAGUGCUUUUGGUGCCCGACGCAAUUACUUUGAAAAAAUUAGAGUGCUCAAAGCAGGCGUAUUGCCUGAAUAGUGUUGCAUGGAAUAAUGAAAUAGGAGUUUACUUCUAUUUUGUUGGUUUUCGGAGGUGAACUAAUGAUUAACAGGGACAGACGGGGGCAUUUGCAUGGAGGGGUUAGAGGUGAAAUUCUUGGAUCCUCUCCAGACAAACUACUGCGAAAGCAUUUGCCAGGAAUGUUUUCACUAAUCAAGAACGAAAGUCAGAGGUUCGAAGACGAUCAGAUACCGUCCUAGUUCUGACCAUAAAUGAUGCCAUCUAACAAUCCACGAAGUUUGCUUGUACGAACUCGUGGGCGGUCCCCGGGAAACCAAAGAUUUUGGGUUCCGGGGGAAGUAUGGUUGCAAAGCUGAAACUUAAAGGAAUUGACGGAAGGGCACCACCAGGAGUGGAGCCUGCGGCUUAAUUUGACCCAACACGGGAAACCUCACCCGGCCCGGACACUUUUAGGAUUGACAGAUUGAAGGCUUUUUCUUGAUCAAGUGGUUGGUGGUGCAUGGCCGUUCUUAGUUGGUGGAGCGAUUUGUCUGGUUAAUUCCGAUAACGAACGAGACUCUACUCUGCUAAAUAGAACGUUGAUAU
rnacentral:rRNA from 1 species